GUCGAACGCUGGCGGCGUGCCUAAUACAUGCAAGUAGAACGCAGUUGCGGACGGGUGAGUAAAGCGUAGGUAACUGCCUCAUAGGGGGGGAUUACUCAUGGAAACGAUAGCUAAUAUCGUCUACUGGGAGAUGGACCUGCGUUGUAUUAGGUAGGUGGUGAGGUAAAGGCUCACCAAGGCGACGAUACAUAGCAGACCUGAGAGGGAUAGCGGCCACACGUGGACAGAAUACCGGCCAAGAGUCAUACGGGAGGACGGAGUAGGGAAUCUGCGGAAAUGGACGGAAGUCUGAGUGAGGAACGCCGCGUUGUUGGAGAAGGUGUUCGGAUCGUAAAGCUCUGUUGAUAGAGAAGCGUUAACUAACCAGAAAGGGACGGCUAACUACGUGCCAGCCGCCGCGGUAAUUC
rnacentral:rRNA from 1 species